rnacentral:pre_miRNA from 1 species
CUUACAGAGUUUAUUGGCAUUCUGUCCACCUCCCAUCUAUGGAAAUCUUCUCUUUUUCUUUUGUGGAGGUGGGCAUACUGUCAAGUGAGCUCUGUUGG